UCUGCUUCCUGACUGCAGGGCUGCUGCUGCAAAUGACCAGAGCUGGCAGCCAUGAAACUAAGCUCAGUGAACCCUUUGCAGGUUUUCCAGGCAAUAGGCAUUUUGUUGACUGCCUUGGGAGGAGUGGCCAGUGUGGCAUCUUUCUUUCCCACAUUCGUUUUGUUGUGCUUGGUGACUUUCAACUAAGAGGGAGAGAAUCUGAAGCUGAACCAGGAGCCCGAUGC